rnacentral:lncRNA from 1 species
CAUAACAUUAUGUUUGCUGACUGGGAACGGUUAUGGACCACAGGUAUGAAAUUUACGGCUUGUAAUGCUUUAAGAGAAAACAUAAUGAAAAUGAUUUACAGGUGGUACUUAACCCCAGUCAAGCUAGCAAAAAUUUAUCACUUGCCUGAUAAUAAAUGUUGGAAAUGUAAAGAAAACGAAGGUACUUUCUUUCACCUUUGGUGGACGUGCCCAAAGAUCAAGGCAUUCUGGGAAAUGAUAUACAAUGAAUUAAAAAAGGUAUUGAAAUAUACUUUCUUAAAGAAACCAGAGGCCUUCCUCUUGGGCAUGGUCGGCCAAUUGGUGCGAAGGGAAGAUAGAACUUUUUUUAUGUAUGUGACAGCAGCAGCAAGAAUACUCAUUGGGAAAUAUUGGAAGACACAAGAAUUGCCUACCCGAGAAGAAUGGCAGAGAAAAGUGAUAGACUAUAUGGAACUGGCUGAGAUGACCGGAAGAAUCCGAGAUCAAGAAGAAGGGUUGAUGGAAGAAGAUUGGAAAAAGUUUAAAACAUAUCUACAGAAUCACUGUAACAUAAAAGAAUGUUAGGAAAGGUUGGAGAAGAAAUAUUAGACCGUAUUGGCAGACAGAGUAUAAUGGAAUUAAGUAAAUAUGAAGUGUAAACUAAAGGAUAGAGGAGAAUUAAAUAUUUUUGAAUGUUAAAAUGUUAAAAUAAGUGAAUGAAAAGAAGGCUAGAAGGAUUUGCUGGAGAUACAAUUUGAAUUAGAAUACAAAGCAGAGAAGUGAGAGGAAGUCACGGAAAUAAGUAAAUGGGAAAACGGUUUGUUUAAUUUGAAUUCUUCUUUUGUUAUUUUUUAUUGUGACUUUUUGUCUUGUGUAUUUUUUUUCUUUUUUUUCUUGUAUGGUGUGUUUCUUUUGUAAGAUGUAUGUGAUUGGUUUUUCUUGCUUUAUUUUUUCUUUUUUUGUAAUCUUAAAAUUUGAAUAAAUAUUCUUAAAAA